ACUCAUACCUUGCAGGGGAAAUACCAUGGUCAUGAAAGUGGUUUUCCCAGGGUGAGGCUCAUCCAUUGCACUUCAGGUGUGUUCAUCCCUGUGAUUUCCCAGGAGACAACUGCAUAAUUUGUGGCAGUGGGGAUUGCAUUUGUGUUUUCCCUG
rnacentral:snRNA from 1 species